ACGAACGCUGGCGGCAUGCCUAACACAUGCAAGUCGAGCGCCUGUAGCAAUACAGGAGCGGCGCACGGGUGAGUAACGCGUGGGAACCUACCCUUAGGUUCGGAACAACCGCGGGAAACUGCGGCUGAUACCGGAUAAUGUCUUCGGACCAAAGAUUUAUCGCUGAGGGAGUGGCCCGCGUCUGAUUAGCUAGUUGGUGAGGUAAUGGCUCACCAAGGCUACGAUCAGUAGCAGGUCUGAGAGGAUGAUCUGCCACACUGGGACUGAGACACGGCCCAGACUCCUACGGGAGGCAGCAGUUAGGAAUAUUGGACAAUGGGCGAAAGCCUGAUCCAGCCAUGCCGCGUGUGUGAUGAAGGCCCUAGGGUUGUAAAGCACUUUCGUUGGGGAUGAUAAUGACCGUACCCAAAGAAGAAGCACCGGCUAACUUCGU
rnacentral:rRNA from 1 species